AGUGAACGCUGGCGGUGGGCCUAACACAUGCAAGUCGAACGGCAGCACAGUAAGUGCUUGCUCUUAUGGGGGGCGAGUCGCGGACGGGUGAGGAAUACAUCGGAAUCUACUUUUUCGUGGGGGUUAACGUAGGUAGACUUACUCUAGUAUCGCAUACGACCUAGGGUUGAAAGCAGGGGAUCUUCUGACCGGGCGGGGUUGGAUGAGCGGAUGUCGGGUUUGUUAGUUGGGCGGUUAAAUGCCCACGAAGUCGAGGAUCGGUAGCUGGUCUGAGAGGAUGGUAGGCCACCCUGGAACUGAGCCACGGACCAGACUCCUACGAGAGGCAGCAGUGGGGAAUGUGAGACAAUGGGGGCGAGCCUGAUCCAACCGUACCGCGUGGGUGAAGAAGGCCUUCGGGUUGUAAAGACGUUUUGUUGGGAAAGAACAGCAGCAGGCUAAUACCCCGCUGUUCUGACGGUACCCAAAGAAUAAGCACCGGCUAACUUCGUG
rnacentral:rRNA from 1 species